AUGAGACUGCGCGUGGAGGUGACUUGGGAAUCCGCGCGCCCAGGAGGGCCCCUCCGCCAAGUUCCGGGGAAAGUACCUAAAAAGGCCACUAGGCGCGCGCGACGACCGGCGCAAACACCCGCAGACCGGCUCCAGGUCGCAGGCCGGCAAUGGCCACCGCCGCCAACGCACGCCCCACCCGGUCUGGGUCCACCUCGGAUCGCUGUCCCGGCCCGGGCGGGCGGAGGGGGCCCGGUGCUUCCCCGGAGUCCCAGCUUUGGAGCUCCCCGCGGUCACAGCCAGGCACAGUGCGACCCUGGCAGCAGAUGGGGCACUUGGACCAUUUAUUUGUUCACUGUUUGCGACCUCUGGUCUCACGAGGGUGGCUGUGGGAAGGAGACCGACUCCCGGUGCGGCUCCCGGGCCGCGCCUGCGGGGUCCGAGCUCCAGAGAGGACAGGGCCUUUCUCCAGGAAUUGACUAUCUCCACCCAGACUCGGCCUACAACUAUGAACCGCGGGCGGCCAGUGCACGCCCCUUCCUGUGUCUGCUGCUGGCUCCGCGCACCACUCUUGGGCGUCGGGCUUCCGGCGUCCUGGCGGCUUGGGUAGCGGGGGUUCGGGCGGUCGUCUGGCUGCUCCUCUGGGCUGCGACCUGGCUCACGCGCGGGCCUGCCGCAGCCUUCACCUCCGCAAGCUCUGACCCCGGCAUAAGGGCCACGUGUUCUGAAAUUACUUUGAGACAAGAAGUUUUGAAAGAAGGUUUCCCCAGAGACCUUUUAAUAAAAGUGAAGUUUGGAGAAGGCAUCGAGGAAUAACAGAGGUGCCGAGUCUUAAUGAAACAGAAUAUUCCUACAGGACAUUUUGUGGAUCCAUAUGAGUUGGCUUCAUUAGGAGAGAGAAACUUAACAGAAGCAAUGAUGGUUUUGGAAAAUUUUGAUACAGAUGCCCCUAUUUGUCCAAGGAAUCUGAAGUUCUCAUUUAUGUCAGACAAGAUUCACAGUGCAUUGAUCGUUUUCAAGCCUUUUUGCCUGUGCACUACCACUAUCAUCGGCCACAGAGUAAAGAUGGAGAAACCUUUACUGUGGUCAGUAACCUAGAUUUGUUGAUGUAUUGUGACCAAGAGUUCCCGAUUUUGAAAUGCUGGGCCCACCCAGAAGUGGCAGCUCCCUGUGCUUUGGAGAAUGAGAAUAUCUGCCAGUGGAACAAGAUGAAGCAUAAAUCAGUAUACAAGAAUGUGGUUCUGCAGGUUCCAGUGGGACUGACUGUACAUUACCUCUUUGUAUGUUCUGUGACUCUGCUCACUACAAUCCUGUGCUCUACUUUGAUCCUCGUAACAGUUUUCAAAUAUGGCCAUUUUUCCCUGUAAGUUUUAUGUAGUUAAAUGCUUCCUAGAAACCUAAAUAAGAUCUAUUAAAUUCUGAUGAGAGGUGUUCUUCUAGAAUUGAGCUUAUAACUCUUAUCAUUUGUCUUCACUUGUGGCCAAAAUUAUGUUUGCUAGAGGAAAUCUGGGAUCAUUCUCAGCUAAUUCCAAAAUUUAGUGCUGUAUUGCAUAGAUCCUUGGUAAUCCUCAAGCAUCAAAUGCCCUAAGAGGAAACUUAAUUCUGCUAAAUUGAUGUUUAUUUUGUGAGAAGUGACUUUAUUUUCAUUUGGGAUAGAAAAAUUAUUUCUUUAUGUAGUAGAGAACAAAUUAUUCUCCUUUUGUGAC